rnacentral:rRNA from 1 species
AACGAACGCUGGCGGCGUGGAUUAGGCAUGCAAGUCGAACGCGAAAAAGAGGGGAAACCCUCUUGAGUAGAGUGGCGAACGGGUGAGUAACGCGUGAAGAACCUGCCUUCAACAGGGGGAUAACACUCCCAACGGGGUGCUAAUACCGCAUAAGACCACGGGUCCGCAUGAACCCGAGGUCAAAGGUGGCCUCUGCUUGCAAGCUACCGGUUGAAGAUGGCUUCGCGUCCCAUUAGCUAGUUGGCGGGUAAUGGACCACCAAGGCGACGAUGGGUAGCUGGUCUGAGAGGAUGGCCAGCCACAUUGGGACUGAGACACGGCCCAGACUCCUACGGGAGGCAGCAGUGGGGAAUAUUGCGCAAUGGACGAAAGUCUGACGCAGCGACGCCGCGUGUGGGAUGACGGUCUUCGGAUU